UAUUUAGCAGCCGCUAUUGGACAGGUAUCUGUAAAAAUAUGCAAGCUUCUUGUCUUCAUGUGAAAACUAUUGAUUGAGCGUUGCACAACAAUAGGUUGGAUCAGAUGAAAUUAUGUUGUUUGACUUGCAGAAUUUUCUGUGGCUUUGAAAUCAAUAAUGGUCCAAAACUUUUUAAAGAUAUUAUUAAACACAAUCCGUAUAUUAAAUAGCUAUUGAUGCAUCAUUUAAAGCUACUGCUACUGAACUUCAUACAAGGAAUAUGCCGCGUAGAUUCUCUUGAACUUGUCAUUACCUGCUUCUUGAAACCAGUG
rnacentral:misc_RNA from 1 species